AUCCGGAUGAUGAAUCCCAAAUAGGAUGAAACGCGCGUCAUGAAU
rnacentral:hammerhead_ribozyme from 1 species